rnacentral:rRNA from 1 species
CUCGGGAGGCUGCAGUGGGGAAUAUUGGACAAUGGGCGAAAGCCUGAUCCAGCCAUGCCGCGUGUGUGAAGAAGGCCUUCGGGUUGUAAAGCACUUUCAGUGGGGAAGAAAGCCUUGGGGCUAAUACCCUCGAGGAAGGACAUCACCCACAGAAGAAGCACCGGCUAACUCCGUGCCAGCAGCCGCGGUAAUACGGAGGGUGCGAGCGUUAAUCGGAAUUACUGGGCGUGAAGCGCGCGUAGGCGGUCUGAUAAGCCGGUUGUGAAAGCCCCGGGCUCAACCUGGGAACGGCAUCCGGAACUGUCAGGCUAGAGUGCAGGAGAGGAAGGUAGAAUUCCCGGUGUAGCGGUGAAAUGCGUAGAGAUCGGGAGGAAUACCAGUGGCGAAGGCGGCCCUCUGGACUGACACUGACGCUGAGGUGCGAAAGCGUGGGUAGCAAACAGGAUUAGAUACCCCUGUAGUC